UCCGUGAGUCUUCCUGUCUGAAAGGCAGGUGUAGCCCCGCAGCCUUGCUCCUCUAUUUUAAGGUUAGCGAUCCGUGGUUUUAACUCCUAUUUAUUGUAGCUUCCUGGUUUAUGGGAAAUUACCAGAUUGCGCUGUGAACCAGCUCGUUAGCCGCGCAUAGAAAACUGGGGCGAGACUGCGUCUGGCUAACAGGACCAGAGAGGUCUUUACCAAUCAAAGUGUGGGGGGCCUUGCCUGGGCCUGAGGUAGACUAGAGGAAUGGUUGCUUGGAUGCGCUGCUGUUUUGCCUCUUUUUCCUAGCUUAUUAUUGCGCAUUUAAUGUAGUUGUUGCCGCGGUCGCUCCAGUUCACUGGGAGGACAUAUGCAAAUCGGUCCGGUCAACAGUGAGCUGAAACUGGGCUGGGGUGAUGUUGCGCUGCGCUGGUUCUGAUGUCCUGGGGAAUUCUCAUGCAAAUGCUCUUCCGUUAAGCAGAUGUUAAACUCUGUUUAUCCAUGCGAGGCUUACCUUUGAUCACGGGGGGAGUUUGUUAAAAUGGAUGUGGUAAUUGCUAGACAAAACACUUCAAUUCUCCAACCCUGCAAGCACCAAGGCAAUAUCCACACUAUAUGCAUCGCCAGGUUUUAGGGUGUGAAUAUUCUUUGUGAAAAUUCAAAAAGAGUGAA